rnacentral:rRNA from 1 species
UACGUAGGCAGCAAGCGUUGUUCGGAGUUACUGGGCGUAAAGAGCGUGUAGGCGGCCUGGAAGGUCCGUUGUGAAAACUCGAGGCUCAACCUCGAGACGCCGAUGGAAACCACCUGGCUAGAGUCCGGAAGAGGAGAGUGGAAUUCCUGGUGUAGCGGUGAAAUGCGCAGAUAUCAGGAAGAACACCCGUGGCUAAGGCGGCUCUCUAGUACGGUACUGACGCUGAGACGCGAAAGCGUGGGGAGCGAACAGG